rnacentral:rRNA from 1 species
GACGAACGCUGGCGGCGUGCCUAACACAUGCAAGUCGAACGGAGUUGAGUGCUUCGGUAUUCAACUUAGUGGCAAACGGGUGAGUAACGCGUGAGGAACCUGCCUUUCAGUGGGGGACAACAGUUGGAAACGACUGCUAAUACCGCAUGAUACUUUUUGGGGGCAUCCCUGAAAAGUCAAAGAUUUAUUGCUGAAAGAUGGCCUCGCGUCUGAUUAGCUAGUUGGCGGGGUAACGGCCCACCAAGGCGACGAUCAGUAGCCGGUCUGAGAGGAUGAACGGCCACAUUGGGACUGAGAUACGGCCCAGACUCCUACGGGAGGCAGCAGUGGGGAAUAUUGGGCAAUGGGGGAAACCCUGACCCAGCAACGCCGCGUGAAGGAAGAAGGCCCUCGGGUUGUAAAACUUCUUUUACCAGGGACGAAGGACGUGACGGUACCUGGAAGAAAAAAGCAAACGGGCUAAAC